CGGAUAAAGAUUAAAUAAUGGACUCAGAAGACCGAAUAGAAAGGACUGUUGAUAUCUACGUCAGUGCAGAGGCUGUAAGAGACAUGAAACAUAAGAAAGAGACAGAAGACUUCAACACAGAAGAACCCCGAACACCUCGACACACAGAAGACUUCAACACAGAAGAACCCCGAACACCUCGACACACAGAAGACUUCAACACAGAAGAACCCCGAACACCUCGACACACAGGAAGUGAUGGUGUGACGAUCUCCAGAGCAGCUGGUGUGUGUUUGGGGCUGAUGUGUGUUCUUCUGAUGACUGCAGUCAUAGUGUUGUGUGUCCACAUCUAUACAAAGAGCACAAACUACACUCAAGAGAGACAACCGCUACUAUCCAACAAUAUGAGCCUCACAGAAGAGAGACAACAGCUGCUGACUAAGAUCACCAACCUCACAGAAGAGAGAGACCAGUUGAAAUCAGAAAGAAAUGAUCUUCAGAAGAAGUUUGCGGAUGGAUGGAAGUGUCAUCAAUCCAGUCUUUACUUCUUUUCCUCUGAGAAGAAGAGCUGGACUGAGAGCAGAAGAUACUGUAGAGAGAGAGCAGCAGAUCUGAUCAUCAUCAACAACAGAGAGGAACAAGUGUGUGUGUGUGUGUGUGUGUGUGUGAG